AGGCUUAACACAUGCAAGUCGAGCGCCCCGCAAGGGGAGCGGCAGACGGGUGAGUAACGCGUGGGAACGUACCCUUUACUACGGAAUAACGCAGGGAAACUUGUGCUAAUACCGUAUGUGCCCUUCGGGGGAAAGAUUUAUCGGUAAAGGAUCGGCCCGCGUUGGAUUAGCUAGUUGGUGGGGUAAAGGCCUACCAAGGCGACGAUCCAUAGCUGGUCUGAGAGGAUGAUCAGCCACAUUGGGACUGAGACACGGCCCAAACUCCUACGGGAGGCAGCAGUGGGGAAUAUNGGACAAUGGGCGCAAGCCUGAUCCAGCCAUGCCGCGUGAGUGAUGAAGGCCCUAGGGUUG
rnacentral:rRNA from 1 species